AUAAUGGGUCAGCGACUUAUAUUCUGUAGCAAGGUUAACCGAAUAGGGGAGCCGAAGGGAAACCGAGUCUUAACUGGGCGUUAAGUUGCAGGGUAUAGACCCGAAACCCGGUGAUCUAGCCAUGGGCAGGUUGAAGGUUGGGUAACACUAACUGGAGGACCGAACCGACUAAUGUUGAAAAAUUAGCGGAUGACUUGUGGCUGGGGGUGAAAGGCCAAUCAAACCGGGAGAUAGCUGGUUCUCCCCGAAAGCUAUUUAGGUAGCGCCUCGUGAAUUCAUCUCCGGGGGUAGAGCACUGUUUCGGCAAGGGGGUCAUCCCGACUUACCAACCCGAUGCAAACUGCGAAUACCGGAGAAUGUUAUCACGGGAGACACACGGCGGGUGCUAACGUCCGUCGUGAAGAGGGAAACAACCCAGACCGCCAGCUAAGGUCCCAAAGUCAUGGUUAAGUGGGAAACGAUGUGGGAAGGCCCAGACAGCCAGGAUGUUGGCUUAGAAGCAGCCAUCAUUUAAAGAAAGCGUAAUAGCUCACUGGUCGAGUCGGCCUGCGCGGAAGAUGUAACGGGGCUAAACCAUGCACCGAAGCUGCGGCAGCGACGCUGAUGCGUUGUUGGGUAGGGGAGCGUUCUGUAAGCCUGCGAAGGUGUGCUGUGAGGCAUGCUGGAGGUAUCAGAAGUGCGAAUGCUGACAUAAGUAACGAUAAAGCGGGUGAAAAGCCCGCUCGCCGGAAGACCAAGGGUUCCUGUCCAACGUUAAUCGGGGCAGGGUGAGUCGACCCCUAAGGCGAGGCCGAAAGGCGUAGUCGAUGGGAAACAGGUUAAUAUUCCUGUACUUGGUGUUACUGCGAAGGGGGGACGGAGAAGGCUAUGUUGGCCGGGCGACGGUUGUCCAGGUUUAAGCGUGUAGGCUGGUUUUCCAGGCAAAU
rnacentral:rRNA from 1 species